rnacentral:ncRNA from 6 species
GUAAGAGCAUAGGGAAACUUGUGCUUAGUGGAAUAUAUAAAAUCUCGUAUAUCCCAACAAAGAAACUGAAUUGCGGGGAACCCCUAAAGCGAGUAAAACGACAACGUAGUCUUGAAAUAGGCAAACGUGACCGUGGCGAAAGCAGAAAAAAUUUACUCGAUAGCAUAUGGUUAAAUCCUAAGUGUUGCGACAAUGGGCAAUCUGCAGCGAAGACUCGAACAGAGUAACGUUCAACGACUAUUCCUCUUGAGGGAAGUACACACAAGCGUGUGGAAGUGGUUUCGCCGUACUGGGUAAAGCCAACGGAUAAGAUAUAGUCUGUGCUGGCACGAAAGUGUCAG